AUAUUUUCCUCUCACCUACAUUCUCUCUCCCUCUCUCUCUCUCUCUCUCCCAUGGAUCUUCCUUAACCCACUUCCCCUCCUCCUCUCUUCUUCUUUACUCUAAACUCAUCAUUUAUUUUCAAAUUUUCAAACACAAAAAUACUACCCAAAACCACAAAUUCUACCCAAAGCAAGGUAAGUCUCUCUAGCUCUCAUUUCUAUUUUGUAGCAAUUUUUGUAAAUAUAUUUGUUGUUAAAUUUUUGGUUUUUUAGUUUUUAUUAUGGUUUGUAUAAGAGCAGAAAGUGUCAAAAAUUAAAUCAACAAACUUCAUGAUAUGUGGUUGUGAUGGAGUCAACAAAUUAUUAUUAUUUUUUUUUUCCAUUGUGCCACAUAUCUCAUCAAUUUCUUAUACUCCUUUUAUGAUUUUGGUUUGUGCAUUUAUUUGCUUUGAUUUUAUUUAAGUUUGUGAUAUACUAAUAUGAUUUUGGUAUGAUUUUGGACAUAGGCAUUUGGGUUUGGAUUGUUAAAUGCUUUAAUUUUGAUUUAAUUAUUUCAGUCCAAAUAUUGUUCAUUCACCCUUUAUUUGUAACGUGGUAUAUAUUGUUGAACUUGGAUUUAUAUUGCAAUAGGAAUUUAUAGUUUUGCGUAUUGUGUGCUUGGUCCAUUGGAUGCCACUUAGGCCUCUUGACUACAAAGUGGUGGUGGUGCUCUCUUAUCUCUUUAACCUCUGUCCUUGGUGAAGGAAGGCAUUGAGCUAGGUUCUUGGUAACAAAAAUUCGACCAUAGGCAAUCUUGUUAAAGGGAUUAUACCAUUGAUCACUCGGUGUUGUGUGCGUAACGCAAGCACUGAAUCAGUGGGUCAUCUUUUGCAUAAUUUUUAUUUUGUAGAUUUUUUGUACUUGUUAUUUGUCACCAAGUAUUUGAUGCAAUCAAUUAGUGGGUCAUCUUUUGCAUAAUUUUUAUUUGGUAGAUUAUUUGUACUUGUUAUUUGUCACCAAGUAUCUGAUUUCAUCACUAGGUUAUGAUACUUUACAAGCUAAGUACUUUCUUUGGCAAUGAAUGUUAUUUGAGUCGUGUUAAGGAUGUUUAUACUCUACAUGCUGUAAAUUUAAAAAAAAAAAAAAAAUUAGGUACUCUAUAUGUUAGUGUGACUGUGGCUAUGCUAGACAUGACAUGAAAUUCUUUGAGUCAAAGGAAAUGGAACCCCAUAAUGUGAUUGGCAGCAAUAUAAUAGAAACUUUAGGGAUUAAAGGGUGGAUUGUAUUUGUUUAGUGCAAAAAAUAAUAUCCUAUCUUAACUGUAGUCCAUGCACUAACUUGGAAGACUUUAUAUAUACUUUUAUCCUAUCCCCCUUGAAACGCCAAACUUGUAAUGGUAAAUAACUGGUUGAUAUUUAUGUGCAGAAAUCAUCUGAACUUCACUAAAGAUCAUUUGAGUCUGCUGUUGACUUUAUCUGGGCUAUUGCCACCAGUCAUCUUUGGGUAGAUCUGAAUAUGAAAAUUUUUGUUGUUUUAUCUUUUAGACCAUCUACAUAAAAAGUAUUCUAUCUCUUUAUCUACAACUUGUGGUUGUACGCGCUGACUUGAAUGGUCACCUAAAGGCCUUGAAAGACUAUUUUCUUUUAGCAGAAGGAGAUUUCUUCAAGGAAAAAUAUGAAUCUGUUUCUUGCUUCGUUGUGCAUUUUUAUUCAAGUACUCUUAUGGGUGCAAUGACGACCUUAAACUAUUUAUUUAAUGGCAAUAUAUGCCAUGCCAAUUUUUGCACAUGCCAAUUUUUACACAUCCCUUUGCGAAUUCCUAUAUACCUUUCGGAAGAUACUUUAAAGUUAAUAAAUAUGAAAAUUGCUACAAAUGAUUUAUGAUAAUGAUAAUGGAACCUCUUUUGCCCAUUUAUAUUCUUGAACUUUUGUUGUUUAUAAAUAUCUCUUGUAUUUGGUAUGUCUCUGGUUGUAUAUAAGUUCCAAUACAUGUUUUAUAUAUUAAAAAAAUUUACUAUACAUGUGACACUAAACUUUAGUUGCACCAUGUGUAACUUAACCAAAGUUACACCUAAACUUUAGUUGCAACUUGUGUAACUUAACCAAAGUUAGACAUUUUUAUAUUACCAAAAUGGCACUGUAGGGUAUAGAGUAAUAGUGGAGAAUUAUCAUGUCAGAAUGAGAUGAAUUGUGUUUAUAUAUAUAUAUAUAUAUAUAUAUGAGAAAAAGAGGGGGGGGGGGGUCAUUGAGGAUAUGGCUUAGUAUUUAGUAUUAACUAUUAUACUAGGCCGAUAUUAGUAUAAUAGUAAAGAUUAUAGAAGGGUAAAAGAACUCUAGGUGUUUUUAAAAUUGUUAUCAACAGAGAAGAAUUAAUGUAAAAGGCUCUACAACGCUUCUGAUUUAUUUUGACACUUUUUAGUUAUUUUGAUGUUUUUUUUCAUCAACAAGCAAAAAAGGGUUUUGUAGGUGAUGCAGGUUGGUAUACAUUUUGUCGGUGACACCCAAUCUUAUGGUAAUUAAGUUGCAAAUACAGCAGCUGGUAUGGAUUCAAUCCAAGAGAUGAAGUGGAAUUUUUCACAAUGUAGAGAACCUAAUCUCAUCAAAGCAAAGGAAGAGAGAUGCAAAUAAGGUGCUUGGCGAAGUGCAAAAUAGGAAGUACUCGGGUAUGUUUUUCACUAAUCAAACCAAUCACACUGAAUUUAUAUAAGAAAUGGGGAAAGGCUACAAUUAUUGUUGGGGUUUUUUUAGUUGCAAAUGCUCUUGAGCAUUUGGAGCAGACUACGACAAAUAGAGAGGUUGAACACGACCCUGUUACUCCAGGUGAGUGCCUAAUUGUUAUUUUCAUAUUCUUGAAGAGAUUAAUAUUCUAGGUACCUGAAGGUUUUGAGAGCAUGAUUUUUUUCCAAAAUAAUUUCUAGACCAAAAGGAUUCUGAUAAUUUCCCUUCGCUUUGUUAGUGGCAGUGUAUGGUUAUUGUGGAAGGUUCAAAACUAUUGUUAAUGGUAGUGGUUUCUAAACCUGUUGUCUUUGGCUUAUCUUCAAUUGUCAUGAAUUUCAUAUUAGUUUUGUGUGUCCUGUGAUAUAAGUGGUGGUGAAUUAUAAUUGGUAAGUGUUGAUUUCUAUUAUUAGAUAUCUUAAUCUCUUACUUCCUAGCCUUUGUUUUAUUAUCAAGUAUCAUGGUCAACGUCUAAUAGCAAUUUCAAAUUAUCUAUUAGUUAGUCUUAUUGGGGGCUAUAAAAGUAGGAAAUGAAAAUUCUAGAAUUCUGCUUUUUUCUAUGAAGUUUUGCAAGGCAGGAAAGUUAUGAUGGGGGAGCUUUAGUUGUAGUUCCUGAUAGAAGAAUGAAGCAAUCCAAGAGAGAUCCUUUGGGAUACAAUGUAGAGUCAUAUUGUGCAAUUGUUACAAUAUUGCUUGGGAAGAUACAAAUUCUCACCAAAACUAAAUGGAAUUAUAGAUUCUCACCAACAUGUCUAACAUUUGUUUGAUUUGGAAAAAGCUUUUAUAUCACCAAAGCUAUGAAGCUCAAGCUCCAAUUCUUCCAACUAUUGAUGGCACUUGGAGAGCCUGAGCAUUCAAGGAACAAAAAAACAAAGAAGAAUCAUAUUAAGAGUAGUAUGAGAUUUUAGUUGUAAAAUAGUGUUCAAUACAUAAUAGUAAGUUUAUUGAUUUUCAUCUGUUCAUCUUUUCCCAAAAGAACAGUAGUUUAUAGAGAGAUAACACUUUUCUUUUUUGGAAGUUGAAGACAAUUUGGUGGGUUAACAUAGGUGGACACGGCUCUUUGUUAGUGUUACAAAUGUAUAUGAAAUUCUAGGAAUACCUCCAAUGGACAGUGAGCAUAUGUUGAAUAGGUGAGGCUCUAUCACUAUUGGUGGGGCAACACA